rnacentral:misc_RNA from 1 species
UUUCCGUAGGUGAACCUGCGGAAGGAUCAUUAUUGGAUGUUGAAACUUCAGGCUGCUGCUGGCUCUCCUCGGAGGGCAUGUGCACGCUUGUUGUCCAUUAUUUCUCCCACUGUGCACAAAUUGUAGACCUUUCAGAAGGCCUAUGUUGUUUUUCACAAUCUCUGAAUGUAAUAGAAUGGUUUUGAAUCUUGGGAAAUACAAUACAACUUUCAGCAACGGAUCUCUUGGCUCUC